rnacentral:rRNA from 1 species
GUGAACGAUCAAGGGCGCGCGGUGGAUGCCUAGGCUCUCGGAGGCGAUGAAGGACGCGAUAAGCCGCGAUAGGCCACGGCGAGGUGCAAGUAACCCUUGACCCGUGGAUUUCCGAAUGGGGCAACCCGGCCGUCUAGAUGACGGUCAUCCAGCAAUGGAGGCGAACGCGGGGAACUGAAACAUCUCAUUACCCGCAGGAGAAGAAAACAACAGUGAUUCCCCCAGUAGUGGCGAGCGAACGGGGAAGAGCCCAAACCGGUGCCGUUUCGGCGACACCGGGGUCAUGGGACCGCGCCAUUCGACGAUGGACGAAGUGCAAUUACCUGGAAAGGUAAGCCGCGGAGGGUGAUAGCCCCGUGCACGACAACCCCAUCUAAGAUAGCGGAAUCCCGAGUAGGGCGGGACACGAGAAAUCCUGCCUGAAUUCGCCAGGACCCCCUGGCAAGGCUAAAUACUCCCGAGAGACCGAUAGUGAACCAGUACCGCGAGGGAAAGGUGAAAAGUACCCCGAGCAGGGGGGUGAAAUAGACCCUGAACCCGCGCGCCUACAAGCGGUCGGAGCCGAGUGAUUCGGUGACGGCGUGCCUUUUGCAUAAUGAGCCUACGAGUUAGUCGUCACCAGCGAGGUUAAGGGCUUCAGGCCCGUUAGCCGAAGUGAAAGCGAGCCUUAACAGGGCGACGAGUUGGUGGCGCUAGACGCGAAACCUUGUGAUCUACCCACGAGCAGGUUGAAGUCGCGGUAACGCGUGAUGGAGGACCGAACCGGUAAACGUUGAAAAGUUUUCGGAUGACUCGCGGGUAGGGGUGAAAGGCCAAUCAAACUGGGAAAUAGCUCGUACUCUCCGAAAUGCAUUUCGGUGCAGCCUGUGAUGUUCUGUUCCAGAGGUAGAGCUACUGGUUGGACGCGAGGGCUUCACCGCCUAUCAAAUCCGGAUAAACUCCGAAUGCUGGAACACGAAAUCAUGGAGUGAGCCCGCGGGUGCUAAGGUCCGCGGACGAGAGGGAAAGAACCCGGACCACCGGCUAAGGUCCCGGAUGGACAGUUAAGUUGAUCAAACGAGGUGGGAUCGCGGAGACAGCUAGGAUGUUGGCUUGGAAGCAGCCAUUCAUUUAAAGAGUGCGUAACAGCUCACUAGUCGAGCGAUCCCGCGUGGAUAAUACACGGGCAUGAAACUGUCAACCGAAGCCGUGGGGUCAGUGUUGAACUGACCGGUAGGAGAGCAUUCCUGCCAGCGUCGAAGGUCACCCGCGAGAGUGACUGGAGCGGCAUGAAAAGCAAAUGUAGGCAUAAGUAACGAUAAUGGGGGCGAGAACCCCCCACGCCGCAAGACCAAGGAUUCCCCGGCAAUGUCAAUCAGCCGGGGGUCAGCCGGCCUCUAAGGCUAACCCGAAGGGGGACGCCGACGAGAAACGGGUUAACAUUCCCGUGCUUCUCGUCACCGUGACGCGGUGACGGGGUGAUGAAUGGACCGCGCGCUGACGGAAUAGCGCGUUGAAGGCCGUACCCUUUGACGGUGGUAGUCAAGCACGCCACCGGAGGCGAAAGUCGAUAGUACCUCGAGGCCUCGGCCGAGGGGAUAGCGUCCAGGCAAUUUACCCCCGAGAAAACCCGCUAAACUUCAAGUGACGAGGAACCGUACUGUAAACGGACACACGUGGUCGGGUAGAACAUACCAAGGCGCUCGAGUGAUUCAUGGUCAAGGAACUAGGCAAAAUAGUCCUGUAACCUCGGGAAAAAGGACGCUCUAGUGAUAGAGCCGCAGAGUAAUGGCCCAGGCGACUGUUUACCAAAAACACAUGGCUAUGCCAAAUCGAAAGAUGACGUAUAUGGCCUGACACCUGCCCGGUGCCGGAAGGUUAAGAGGAGAGCUCAGGGGUGACCCGAAGGUUUGAAUUGAAGCCCCGGUAAACGGCGGCCGUAACUAUAACGGUCCUAAGGUAGCGAAAUUCCUUGUC